UUUUUUUUUGAGUCAGAGUCUCGCUCUGCCACCCAGGCCGGAGUGCAGUGGCGUGAUCUCGGCUCACUGCAACCUCCACCUUCCGGGUUCAAGCCAUUCUUCUGCCUCAGCUUCCCAAGCAGCUGGGAAUACAGGCACAUGCCACCACAUGCAGCUAAUUUUUGUAUUUUUAGUAGAGACGGGGUUUCGCCAUGUUGGCCAGGCUGCUCUCAAACUCCUGACCUCAGGUGAUCCACUCACCUCGGCCUCCCAAAGUGCUGGGAUUACAGGCAUGAGCCACUGCGCCCGGCCUUAUGUGUGGUAAGUUUCUUUAUUGCUUAAGUCAAUUUCAGUUGGGAUUUACUAUUACUUAAAGCCAAUGCAUCUGAAUCAAAACAUGGACACCCAGGCCAGGCCUCUAUUAAAGAUCAUGUGUAGGUCCAACUCCCACAGAAAUAUCCACUGUAUCAUGUGGGUUUUGUGGACUUGGAAAACAUAAGGAAUGAGCAACGUCCUGGGAAGUCCCAUCUCGUGAGAAGAAAAGUGAAAAAUUUUGUUGGUCUCCAGGGAAUGCUGACUUUGUUUAUUAAUGCCACAACAAACGUGUCUCUGAAUAAGGGAACUGACAGGACACCCGUCUCUGCAUUGAAACCUGAUUAAAAGCAAGUCCAGCCCCUUCUAGUCUCUCAGGAGUCUUCACAGUUUCUAAGCUGUCCUUUGUGAGUCAGUGAUGUCGAUGGCAGGAAAACUCCAUCCUUGUUUCUUUGGGUGAUAAUCCACACAUCACAGCAUGAAUACUCAAGCUCUCACACGAAGCAAUGGUCAGGGUGAGAUCCCAAGGUGUGGAUCCCAGAGUACGAAUCCCACGAUGUGCAUCCUAGGGUAUGGGUGCCUAAAAUGGUGCUGAAGGUCUGACUUAGGGUGACUCUCACUCACAUUUUUCACAGAAUAAGUUCAGAACUCUGGGCUAUCAAAAGCCCAUUGUCACAUGUGUGGACCCAUGCAUCCACUCUCACCCUUCCAUGUUCUGUUCACAGUGCUGCCUCAGGUCUAUGACAUCCAAUGGCAGCAGGCAUCGUUCACCUUGUGCGUGCCCAACUCUGACUCCCAGGGCAGUCUCCCCACACCUCACGGGCUUCAUGCCACAUAUGAAGCAGGCCUCUGGGGGUGGUCUCAGCCAUAGCCUCCGAGAGCCUUCGAGACUGUUGCUCUGCAACACCAGUGGUCCCUUCCAACCAAUGUCCUUUCUUGCCUCCAGCUGACAUGGUGACAUCAUGCUCUCCAGCUUCAGCUAAGAUCCCUGAUUGAGGUCAGAAUCGCAGAAUCAAUGGGCACUUCUCUAUUCUUUCAUACCAAUCAUUUGAUCCAUUGCACUGAUAGUUUAUUGAGUACAAAAUGCAGCUUCCUCUUCCACAAAAGCCUAACAAUGGUCAGCUAUUGCCAAUGGAAGAACAAUUCAGCUCAUCCCAUCUUUUCUGGAUCAGGUCCUUAUAUUACCCCCGCCGCCCCCAAGCUUUACUUAAAGUCCUCUCUAUCCCUUUGAAACAUUUUUCUUUCUGGCUCCCUGCUUAGGUUAGCUCUUCUCGCUUGUCUUGUCAUUAGGUGGAAUAAUACAUGAAGACACUCCUGGCACAAUUACUGCCUUGGAAUUGGCCCAGUUCAGCUUAUCAGAUGAUGAGUGUCUGCUAUGGGCAGAUGCAAGUGAUAUAAGCAUCAGAGACACCUCCUUCCCAAAGAACUUAACACAUGUUAGUGU
rnacentral:lncRNA from 1 species